AAGCUGCGAUAAGUAAUGCGAAUUGCAGAACUCAGCGAGUCAUCGAGUCUUCGAACGCACAUUGCGCCCCCUGGCAUCCCCGGGGGCACGCCUGUCCGAGCGUCGUCGACAUCCCCUCAGGGUGCCCCAUCGCUGGGUGCCCUGGCCUUGGGCCCCGCCCCCGUGCGGGCGGGCCCGCAACCCCCGACCGGUCCUCCCCGGAGCCCCGAGCGCAGCGGCAUCCCCCAUGCUCGUGGAGGCCCCCGGGUUCGAAGGAGCGGUGUCCCUCGUCGUAGCGUUGACCUCGGAUCAGGCGGGGCUACCCGCUGAACUUAAGC
rnacentral:misc_RNA from 1 species